rnacentral:rRNA from 1 species
GCAAGUCGAGCGGUAACAGAACUAGCUUGCUAGUUGCUGACGAGCGGCGGACGGGUGAGUAACGCGUAGGAAUCUGCCCGAUAGUGGGGGAUAGCCCAGAGAAAUUUGGAUUAAUACCGCAUACGCCCUACGGGGGAAAGCAGGGGAUCUUCGGACCUUGCGCUAUUGGAUGAGCCUGCGUCGGAUUAGCUUGUUGGUGGGGUAAUGGCCUACCAAGGCGACGAUCCGUAGCUGGUCUGAGAGGAUGAUC